CCAUUCUUCUCUCUCUAGAGAAUCCCCAAAGAAUCAAUCUCUGAAAACUCCUUAUCUCUCCCUCUAUAUUUCAUCUUCACCAAGCCUCAUUAUGGAAUUAGGCAGAGAAAUCAUAACCAAGAAACACAGAAAAAUUCUCUCCCACACCAUAACCUCCAUCUUCCCCUUUCUUUCUUUCUUUCUGAGUUCACGAUUAUUUCUUCAAGAAUCACAAAAUCUCUAA